rnacentral:rRNA from 1 species
CUCAGGACGAACGCUGGCGGCGUGCCUAACACAUGCAAGUCGAGCGGAGAUUCAAGGAGCAGCUUGCUGCACUUUGAAUCUUAGCGGCGGACGGGUGAGUAACGCGUGGGUAAUCUGCCUCAAACAGGGGGAUAACACAGGGAAACUUGUGCUAAUACCGCAUAGACCCCAUCAUGGCAUCAUGAAGAGGUCAAAGGAGAAAUCCGGUUUGAGAUGAGCCCGCGUCUGAUUAGCUAGUUGGUGAGGUAACAGCUCACCAAGGCGACGAUCAGUAGCCGAACUGAGAGGUUGAUCGGCCACAUUGGGACUGAGACACGGCCCAGACUCCUACGGGAGGCAGCAGUGGGGAAUAUUGCACAAUGGGGGGAACCCUGAUGCAGCGACGCCGCGUGAAGGAAGAAGGCCUUCGGGUUGUAACUUCUUUGAUUGGGGACGAAUAA